rnacentral:rRNA from 1 species
CAAUUUUACUCUGUCUUUAUUAUAAAAAUAGAAUUUAACUUUUUAUGUGCAGAGGCGAAAAUUAUUUUAAGGGACAAGAAGACCCUAUGAAUUUUAUUUUUUUAAUAAAAAGUUCUUUUUAUUAAAAGAUUAGUUGGGGCGAUUAAUAAAGAGUAUAGAUCUUUAUGUUUUAAUUAAAUUGGAUCCAAUAUUAUUGAUUUAAUGAAUUAAAUACUCUAGGGAUAACAGCGUUAUAAUUUUGGAUAGCUCAUAUAGAUAAAAUUGAUUGCGACCUCG